rnacentral:rRNA from 1 species
UACGUAGGGAGCGAGCGUUAUCCGGAUUUAUUGGGUGUAAAGGGCGCGUAGACGGAAUAGCAAGUUGGUUGUGAAAUCCCUAGGCUUAACUUAGGAACUGCAACCAAAACUGUUAUCCUUGAGUGUGGGAGAGGAAAGCGGAAUUCCUAGUGGAGCGGUGAAAUGCGUAGAUAUUAGGAGGAACACCAGUGGCGAAGGCGGCUUUCUGGACCAUAACUGACGUUGAGGCGCGAAAGUGUGGGGAGCAAAC